AACGAACGCUGGCGGCAUGCCUAACACAUGCAAGUCGAACGAAGUCUUCGGACUUAGUGGCGCACGGGUGCGUAACGCGUGGGAAUCUGCCUUUGGGUUCGGAAUAACAGUGAGAAAUUACUGCUAAUACCGGAUGAUGUCUUCGGACCAAAGAUUUAUCGCCCAAAGAUGGGCCCGCGUCCGAUUAGCUAGUUGGUGGGGUAAAGGCUCACCAAGGCUCCGAUCGGUAUCCGGCCUGAGAGGGCGGACGGACACACUGGAACUGAGACACGGUCCAGACUCC
rnacentral:rRNA from 1 species